rnacentral:lncRNA from 1 species
AAUGAGGCGUUGGGACGAGAUGAAGGGGGUAGCCGACAGCCACGGCGCACGAUGGUCCACGUUCCCAUGCAAGGGAAGGUUUCGUAGUGAUUCGUCAUUUUCCUUUGGGAAUGGAUUUCUUGUUGAUCUAUGUUGGAUUUUUUGUUCUAUGUUAGAUCCUUGUUGUUUGUUAUUUUCAUGAAAACCAUUGAUGGUCAUGGAGAAGUAAUGGUUCUA